GUGUGGUAGGGGCAGAGGGAAUUCCCGGUGUAGCGGUGAAAUGCGUAGAUAUCGGGAAGAACACCAGUGGCAAAGGCGCUCUGCUGGGCCUUAACUGACGCUCAUGGACGAAAGCCAGGGAGCGAAAGGGAUUAGAUACCCCUGUAGUCCUGGCCGUAAACGAUGAACACUAGGUGUCGGGGGAAUCGACCCCCUCGGUGUCGUAGCCAACGCGUUAAGUGUUCCGCCUGGGGAGUACGCACGCAAGUGUGAAACUCAAAGGAAUUGACGGGGGCCCGCACAAGCGGUGGAGUAUGUGGUUUAAUUCGAUGCAACGCGAAGAGCCUUACCAGGGUUUGACAUCCUGCGAAUCUCUUGGAAACGAGAGAGUGCCUUCGGGAGCGCAGUGACAUGUGGUGCAUGGCUGUCGUCAGCUCGUGUCGUGAGAUGUUGUGUUAAGUCCCGCAACGAGCGCAACCCACGUCGUUAGUUGCCAGCAUUUAGUUGGGCACUCUAGCGAGACCGCCGGUGAUAAACCGGAGGAAGGUGUGGAUGACGUCAAGUCAUCAUGCCCCUUACAUCCUGGGCUACACCCGUACUACAAUGCUACGGACAAAGGGCAGCGAGCUCGCGAGAGUUAGUAAAUCCCAUAAACCGUGGCUCAGUUCAGAUUGUAGGUUGCAACUCGCCUACGUGAAGGAGGAAUCGCUAGUAAUCGCAGGUCAGCAUACUGCGGUGAAUACGUUCCCGGGCCUUGUACACACCGCCCGUCACACCAUGGAAGUUGGCCACGCCCGAAGCCGUUACUCCAACUCUUGUGGAGGAGGACGUCGAAGGUGGGGCUGAUGACUGGGGUGAAGUCGUAACAAGGUAGCCGUACCGGAAGGUGCGGCUGGAUCACCUCCUAA
rnacentral:rRNA from 1 species